rnacentral:rRNA from 1 species
AGUGAACGCUGGCGGUAGGCCUAACACAUGCAAGUCGAACGGCAGCACAGUAGGAGCUUGCUCUUACGGGUGGCGAGUGGCGGACGGGUGAGGAAUACAUCGGAAUCUACUUUUUCGUGGGGGAUAACGUAGGGAAACUUACGCUAAUACCGCAUACGACCUACGGGUGAAAGCAGGGGAUCUUCGGACCUUGCGCGAUUGAAUGAGCCGAUGUCGGAUUAGCUAGUUGGCGGGGUAAAGGCCCACCAAGGCGACGAUCCGUAGCUGGUCUGAGAGGAUGAUCAGCCACACUGGAACUGAGACACGGUCCAGACUCCUACGGGAGGCAGCAGUGGGGUAUAUUGGACAAUGGGCGCAAGCCUGAUCCAGCCAUACCGCGUGGGUGAAGAAGGCCUUCGGGUUGUAAAGCCCUUUUGUUGGGAAAGAAAAGCAGCAGGUUAAUACCCCGCUGUUCUGACGGUACCCAAAGAAUAAGCACCGGCUAACUUCGUG